UGGGGAAUAUUGGACAAUGGGGGCAACCCUGAUCCAGCAAUGCCGCGUGUGUGAAGAAGGUCUUCGGAUUGUAAAGCACUUUCGACGGGGACGAUGAUGACGGUACCCGUAGAAGAAGCCCCGGCUAACUUCGUGCCAGCAGCCGCGGUAAUACGAAGGGGGCUAGCGUUGCUCGGAAUGACUGGGCGUAAAGGGCGUGUAGGCGGUUUACACAGUCAGAUGUGAAAUCCCCGGGCUUAACCUGGGAGCUGCAUUUGAUACGUGUAGACUAGAGUGUGAGAGAGGGUUGUGGAAUUCCCAGUGUAGAGGUGAAAUUCGUAGAUAUUGGGAAGAACACCGGUGGCGAAGGCGGCAACCUGGCUCAUUACUGACGCUGAGGCGCGAAAGCGUGGGGAGCAAACAGG
rnacentral:rRNA from 1 species